GAGGAGGCUCAGCAGCUGGCCAGAGCAGCAGGAGGAGUACUGGGUUCUGCCAGGUGCAUGGCAGGAGAGGAAGCCAAACACAGCCGUAAAUUACACCUGGCCUCCCAACACAACCAACACCACUCUAUUGUAGUGUGAUUGAGGCGAUUGACCCACCCCACCCGCCAGCUCCAAAUGAAUUCCAUUUCCCACACAGCCAGGUCCCCCUCGUUCCUCCUUAUUUCUAAUUUACAUUGUGAUCAUAUAUGUCUGAAAAAUGAUAUCGUAAAAAAGAUGAAUGUAGUAAUUACCACUUCCUCUUAUCUCUGCCUCCCCCAGCGUCUCACUGCCUCUGGACUGCUGCCCCGCACCAUUCUACUGAGGCUCGGACUACCUUUCCAUUUGAAAUCCAUAACGACGGAUGCCAAUGACCAAAGGUAACAGCAGGAGGGGAACGCACCCAAUAUAAACACCAAGAGUUCACAGGAACCCCAGUUACAGACCUGUUGAAAGAGCACCAGUGGCCUUUGGUGAGGUUGGUCAUAGAAGGGGUCCAUACCGACGCAGAGCGGGGCCUGUCCUGGGGGCUUGGUUCUGGGAGACUGAGCCACUGAGCCUUCCCUCCCUUGGUAAAUGAAGGCCUGGAGGGCAUGCGGCCAGCGGGCCACCUGGCCAUGGAAGGAGCGGGACAGGGGAGCAGUGGUGAUUAAUGCCCUGUGUUUAGGGUGCCGUCAUCGGGAGGGAGACGGACGAGGGCUCAGCAUGAUGGAUGAGGGCUGGACCAGGGGCUGAUAAGACAUGGCCCAUGAAUCUGUUCUACAUCAUCGGCUCCUUUGAUCACUGACAGAAGUUCAGAGAUGGGCCUGUGCAUCUGUCUAAACAAACAAACCCCCCCCCCCACACACACACACACACACACACACACACACACACUGGCACUGGCUCUCAGGUUAAC